GAUGAACGCUGGCGGCGUGCCUAAUACAUGCAAGUCGAGCGAAUGGAUUAAGAGCUUGCUCUUAUGAAGUUAGCGGCGGACGGGUGAGUAACACGUGGGUAACCUGCCCAUAAGACUGGGAUAACUCCGGGAAACCGGGGCUAAUACCGGAUAACAUUUUGAACCGCAUGGUUCGAAAUUGAAAGGCGGCUUCGGCUGUCACUUAUGGAUGGACCCGCGUCGCAUUAGCUAGUUGGUGAGGUAACGGCUCACCAAGGCAACGAUGCGUAGCCGACCUGAGAGGGUGAUCGGACACACUGGGACUGAGACACGGCCCAGACUCCUACGGGAGGCAGUAGUAGGGAAUCUUCCGCAAUGGACGAAAGUCUGACGGAGCAACGCCGCGUGAGUGAUGAAGGCUUUCGGGUCGUAAAACUCUGUUGUUAGGGAAGAACAAGUGCUAGUUGAAUAAGCUGGCACCUUGACGGUACCUAACCAGAAAGCCACGGCUAACUACGUGCCAGCCGCCGCCGCGG
rnacentral:rRNA from 1 species